GAAGAAAACAGAACAGAGGAAAAAGUGGUGAAAGAGAACUUAACAUUGAAUGUGCUGCUCUCUUAGCAAGGGCUUUCAGCAACCAAGGUGGCCUGGGCAUUGCCCAUAAAGGAUCCUAAUAUUCAAGGGAAAUUCCAUUUGAACUAUACUGAAGUAACUGCACAACAUCCCCCUAUAAGACUGGAGGUACAAUGCAAGAAGCAGGCAAUAAUGUGAAGGCAGAAUUCAACCACUGGACUGAAAAGCACCACCACCACCAGAAUUUGAGAAUAACCAAAAGCAUGUACCUUUGGCAUGAAUCUCUGCAACUUGACAGAUGUGAGUACCAGGCCUGACACAGAAGACGUACAUGUCAGUACCAUCGU